GAGGGGAGCGAGCCGCACCGCCGCAGCGGCCGUCUCCUCCCGCGCCCGCCUCAACUUUUUGUACAGCCCGGAGAGGCGCGGGCACCCCGAUCCCCGCGGUCCAGAAGCGGGUCCUCACCAAAGACGCACAGCAGAGUUGGGGGCCGGUUCUCCCGGCAGCCCGCUCCUCCCGAGCAAACUUAGCGGCGCGGCCAGCCCCACAGCCAUUUUCCCGGAGAGGCGGCGGAGGCGGUCGUGCCCGCAGUUGCCGCCACGGCUCCAGGACCCGAUCGCUGCCCGACUCCCCGGGCACAGCCCGCCCUGCAUCCCCCUCUUCGCCUGCGGAGCUCCCAACUGCACCGGGACCCCAUCGCCGCAGCAGCUGCUCCCGCCGCUUUGCCCAUUCAGCGGCCCCCGCUGCCCACCUACCUACUGCGGGUGCAGAGCGCUGUCAGCUCUCCAGUCUGCCGCCCCACUGAUCGCCGUGGGUCCCCGUCCGGGCAGCACGGCUCCCGGCCGCAGCGGCAGUUCCUGCGCCGGGUUCCCCCACUCGCCCCGAUUUACUGCCACAAUCCACCAAAUAACAAGCUGUUGAGCAGACUCGCUUCUACACGAACUCCUAUUGGCUGUUCAUGACGCCGAAUAGCUUCGGAUUGGAGCUCGCUGUCUGCCUUUCUCAUUGGAUGUAGCUGUGAAACUUCCAUGAUUGGUGCGGAAAACAGCAGGUAGGACAUCUUCCACUUCUGAUUGGCUGGAUCUGAAGACGCACGUUAUUGGAGGAUGGAGGACUGAGUAAGGGAGCCCAAAAAUUUGAUUGGAGGAGCCGACUCCGGAUGUGCUUGACUGAACACUGAUUGGAGAACAGAGGGGUCAGGAAGAGCAGUUCCGCACGAGGAUUGGGCGGUGGCGUGUCCCAUGGAAACGGAAUCCAGAACUGCAGCCAGGGUUUUGCACGGGGGCGGAGCCGGGUCUUCCCCAGGCGCCUGCGCCUAAGCGGUUUCCCGGCGCCAUUUUGUCCCGGCAGCAGCAGCCCGCAGCUCUAUCCCAUUUUCUGUGUCUAGAGGGAAGGAAGCGGACUCUAUCUGGUAGGUUUAUUUCAGUGUGGCACCGGCUUACCCUUCUCUCCAGGACAACGCCUAGCGAAGGGUGGAGGAGUCCCGGAGUUGUCCGAAAGAGUUGUGAAGACAACAGACACCUCCAUGACAACCCAAAGUAUCACAGGGAAAUGAAAAGCUGUGGAUUCUUUCAAAGUUAAUUAAGAUUGGGUUUGACAAUGGAAGACCUCCAGAAAAUCUUGGCUGCUGAUGUGGAAAAAGAGACCCAGAAGAACAACCAAACAGACUAGUUGACGUAGAAACAGCAUUCUUCUUGGAGGAACAGGCAAAGACCCCUUCUUUAGCUGUCAAGAAAUCCAGCCCCCAUCGGUUCUGAAGCACUACAGCUGCCAAAGAAUCGAUUUGUUUCUGGAUAGUAAGCAUGGUUUCAGACAUUUUUUUAAAAACCGUUGUCAGGCUUGUAAAUGAGCUUAUCAUAAUGGGUCAUGGAAGUCGUUAUCCCUGCAAGCCCAGUGCCAGCGCCUAUGGCUAUUCCUGCAGUGAUCAAGAGUGGCAGGACCUGAACUGCCCUCUUAUGCUGGGCAGCUAUCAUAUCUACAGCUGGGAUUAGCAGGGGCUCGGUUCCCUGGAUUACUCCUAGUUCAGGGGAAAGGAUCACCAACAUGCAAACUCCUGACCAGGUAGGUGAUGAUAUACUGAGUGCCACAGAAGAUUGACAUGUUUUGGACUGCAGAGAAUUGUGGCAGAGAAGAGGUAUCGAGGGUUGUGGUUCUAUUGCAGUCUAGGGAGCCUGGUAUUCCUACAGAACGUGUCCCAAUGUCUUAAAACAGUUUGCCACACGAAAAAGGGAUAGAGAAAAGGUAUGGGGUCAUGUGACAUCAGUUAGGGCAGCUGACAAAAGGCGAGGUGAAGUUAUUGGAGAGGCUGUAAGUGGAAGCUAUGAGUUAGUUCCCCGGGGUACACAUGACCAGCAGCCUUUAAAGUGACCAGGUCAGGUGACAUUAAGGAGUUAGUCCGCUGAGGUCAGAGUCUGACGCAAAAGGGGAGAUGACAAGUUAGUGCUAUUUAUGAGGGGGGAUGUCAAAGAGA